GUUAAUUUUUGUAAAAUUGGAGCUUAAAAUAAUCUAGGAAUGAUACAGAGAAGAUUGGCAUGGACCCUGCUCAAGGAUGACAUGCAAUUUCGUGAAGCGUUCCAUAUUAAG